CCUACGGGUGGCAGCAGUGAGGAAUAUUGGUCAAUGGGCGGAAGUCUGAACCAGCCAAGUAGCGUGCAGGAUGACUGCCCUAUGGGUUGUAAACUUCUUUUAUACGGGAAUAAAGUUCCGUAUGUGUACUGUUUUGUAUGUACCGUAUGAAUAAGGAUCGGCUAAUUCCGUGCCAGCAGCCGCGGUAAUACGGAGGGUCCGAGCGUUAUCCGGAUUUAUUGGGUUUAAAGGGAGCGUAGGCGGCAGGUCAAGUGUGUUGUGAAAGGUCCGGGCUCAACCCGGGCCUUGCAGCGCGAACUGGCGGGCUUGAGUCCGCGGAAGGAAGGCGGAAUUCGUCGUGUAGCGGUGAAAUGCUUAGAUAUGACGAAGAACUCCGAUUGCGAAGGCAGCUUGCUGCAGCGGAACUGACGCUGAUGCUCGAAAGCGCGGGUAUCGAACAGGAUUAGAUACCCUUGUAGUC
rnacentral:rRNA from 1 species